rnacentral:sRNA from 1 species
UGUAUUUGAAGUCUGACGAGGAUGAGAACCUCCGGGGGCAAGAGGUUCGACUCGAGCGAAGCGAGAGAACGUUGCGCCAGCAACGGCCCGCAGGGCGAGCCACGCAGUGGCGAGUCAUCCUCUAUCACCGGCAG